GGGGCGGUAGUUCAGUCGGAUAGAAUACCGGCCAGUGAGGCCGGGGGUCGCGGGUUCGAGUCCCGCCCGCUCCGCCA
rnacentral:tRNA from 1 species